rnacentral:rRNA from 1 species
UACGGAGGGUGCAAGCGUUAAUCGGAAUUACUGGGCGUAAAGCGUGCGUAGGCGGUUCGUUAAGUCUGUUGUGAAAGCCCCGGGCUCAACCUGGGAAUGGCAAUGGAUACUGGCGAGCUAGAGUGUGUCAGAGGAUGGUGGAAUUCCCGGUGUAGCGGUGAAAUGCGUAGAGAUCGGGAGGAACAUCAGUGGCGAAGGCGGCCAUCUGGGACAAUACUGACGCUGAGGCACGAAAGCGUGGGGAGCAAACAGG